rnacentral:tRNA from 1 species
AAUCUUACUAAAUUUAAACUGCAAAUUUAAAUAAGAUAAUUAUCUAAGAUUU